rnacentral:misc_RNA from 1 species
GUAUUGGGUAGCAUGUUUAUUACAUUUUAUGUUGGGACAAAGCUUAUGUUCCACAUUGAUGAUGCCAAGAAAAAGAAGCACUAAACUAAGUGGACUAUGAAGGUUCCAUAUGCAACCACCAGUUGUUAGAAGUGACAAGGAAAACAUGGCUACAAAAAGUAGUAUAGAUGACCAUGUACCACAUGAUUUAACCCUCAAUAGAUUGAACCUCUAAUUUGAUAGGUGGGUGUUCAUACUAAGCUUUAUGAGAAAAUUUAGUUUGUUCAACGAGGG